AACGAACGCUGGCGGCAUGCCUAAUACAUGCAAGUCGAACGAGAUCUUCGGAUCUAGUGGCGCACGGGUGCGUAACGCGUGGGAAUCUGCCCUUGGGUUCGGAAUAACAGUUAGAAAUGACUGCUAAUACCGGAUGAUGACUUCGGUCCAAAGAUUUAUCGCCCAAGGAUGAGCCCGCGUAGGAUUAGCUAGUUGGUGAGGUAAAGGCUCACCAAGGCGACGAUCCUUAGCUGGUCUGAGAGGAUGAUCAGCCACACUGGGACUGAGACACGGCCCAGACUCCUACGGGAGGCAGCAGUAGGGAAUAUUGGACAAUGGGCGAAAGCCUGAUCCAGCAAUGCCGCGUGAGCGAUGAAGGCCUUAGGGUUGUAAAGCUCUUUUACCCGAGAUGAUAAUGACAGUAUCGGGAGAAUAAGCCCCGGCUAACUCCGUGCCAGCAGCCGCCGUAA
rnacentral:rRNA from 1 species